UCAUAGUUUGCCUAACCCGACCUACACACAUUGAUUUUUCAGCCCAGAAGCCUGAGUCCCCUGAGCCUGAAUCAGCUGAUCUACACCACCCACAGGGUUCUUUUUAAUCCCCCCUAGAGUCUGCCCAGUUUGUGGAAGGUUCAACUGGGUAAUUUGAUGGAGGGGGGGGCGGGCUGUGAGAGAACAAGACACAGCAAUUAAUAGCGUGACCCUAGAACAAGCUCCCAAGAGAGCUAGUGGUGUCAGUGCCCUCCCUCUGUCCACCAGCCGCUUGGUUCCACGCGUCACCUUCCCUCUCGGUGCUGGAUGGGAGGUGACUUGGAUUCACCCAGGUGCCGGAGGGCUGGAGCCACGUGUCACUAUCCCUUGGGUUGCUGAGAGUCAAACUGUCCCCUCCCCCCCUCGCUUGCAAAUGCCCCAUACCACACUGCUGCGACUUUAAUGCGAAACCGAAAGCGAAAGGCGCCGAGUCCACUCGAAUUAAGUUUCCCCAAACUCUUCUGCGGACUUUUGCAGGCGCCUGGGCGGAUCCGCCGAGCCAGGACUUUGCGCCCUCACAUGCUCCCCUCUUUCAGGUGCCUUUCGGGGUUGCAACGUGCCCAGCCUGAUACCCCGAUGAAGCUGCCGCCGUCCCGGCCCCAGCCGCCGGGGAUCUGACCCUGGGCCCUCGCCCUGCAGAGGCUGGGCUCUUCCCUAGCGCUUCCCAUGCCAUGGCCCGGCUGCUGCUCCUGCUCUGCGGCAUCGUCGGGCUCCUGCCCGCCGGCACCAGCGCGCCCGCGCUGCGAGAAAGAUGCAGCAUGCCAAAGGAGGUCAACAACGCAGAUGUUACGGUCGGCAAUAAUAAUUUGUUGAAUUCCAGCCUCCGGUACACAUGCAAAGAUGGUUACAAAAGGAAAGCUGGGACAUCCAGCCUCAUUGUGUGUGUAAUGGACGAAGUCACCAAAACACUCCAUUGGACAGAGCCAAAUCUAUGUUGUAUUAGGGACCCCGCUCUACCUCCUUUAACUUCCAGCCCCAAACAGACCACAUCAGCACCUAGGACAGAGGCGACCAAUCUUGUCAGCAGAGAAUCAAAGACUUUUACACCAUCUAAACCACCAGUAACCAGAGUAACUGCAGAGGUUACCACAGUCCCAGUCAUGGCCUCCACACCAUCCUAUGAAAGGGAGACCACCUCACCACUAGCAGGCUCCGUCUCACAGCUCAGGACUGACAAGCCUUCACGGGAAACACUUGCAACAGCAACAACUGAGAUCAGGUCAUCGAAAGCGCCUGGUUGCGUGACCAUGGAAGACAUAACACAAUGGCACACUACAGCCACCCAGGACACACACACGUCCCAGCUCUGGACGGAUAAGCCAUUGCUGAAAACAGUUACAACAGAAGGAGAUUGGUCAACAGCAGGACCAGCCAGUGUGACCACAGGAGACUCAACACAGCUUCUCACAGCAGUCAUCCAUAACACUAAAGUUUCCACCCAAGUUAUGCUCUCUUCUGUGGGGUUUCCCAUGUUGCUGACCUUUGUAGCUGUUGCAUUAUGUUGUGUCUGGAGACAGCGAGUCCACAUGAGGCGACAAUACACAAUACCUGUGAUAGCCAUUCCCAUGACUGCAGAGGAGUCAGAACAAAGGGAUGGAACACCACCAGAAGACAGUGGCUCAAAUGGUCCAGAACAACCAAGUGAAGGGACAGAGAUGAUGUCAUCAUCUUGUGUGACAUCGACUGGUUGAACAAUAACACUUAGUGAAAUCAGUGUAUCCGUUAAACUUGAAAGGGGAAGGGAUCCUUGCUGCUCGCAAAGACCAACAGGCCAGUUGGAUUAGGUGCUGACUUGUCAGUUACCACAUGUCAGCUACUCAAUUUGAGAUUGGAAAUACAGCCUCAUUUCUAAGCUGUGGCAAGUGUGCAGCAGAUCUGAUUUCCUGGCCCACCAUCGUUUCAAAGAGAGGAUAGGAAUGGUCUCAUAAACCUUACUGCAUCCUUCCUCUGUUCUUUGAGCUGAACAUCCUGUACUCAUAAGAGAGUGUCUAGAUAACUUGGACAUAUCUUUUAAUUCUUAUUUUAAUGAAUGGUUGCUUUCAAAAGAGAAAUCACACAGGCAUUUAAAUGCCCAAGGAGAACUGUCCAUGUGGAAAGUUCUGAAAAAACUUCAGGUGGCCUCUUAUAUGCAGUGUAAAGACGACGCCAGAGAAGAAGUGGUUGGUGAUCUGAUAGUGAAGAACACAGCUUAGGACCACCUAGGACCCAGACAGAGAGAACAGAAAGACGGCAUUUACCUACAAAGCCAUCAAGCGAAGAACACAGCUUGUUUUCCUGCUGCUACCAGCAAAAUCCUGAGUAAAGAGCAAGUCUGAGAAUCAGAAAACUCACGUCUAACUAUUUUGGGGUCAGCCAUGAUCAUUUGCUCAGGAAUCUUUCAGAAACAUGUUAGAAUCUGAUCCCAGGUGCUUGCAAGUUCCAGGUGCAUCCAGAAGACAAGAGACAGAUGUCCUUUGGGCCACACCACCACCAGCAGCAUAGCACUUUUACAGAUGUUACACAAUGGCCAUUGUAAUGGAAAUAUUUUACAUUGCCGUUUUCCCUCCCAGGGAGAGCAUGUACCUAUAUUCUGGGGGGGGCUUCUUUUCAAAUAGCCCCCUACUCCACCUUGGCCUAGUCCUCAGCCAAUCCCUCAUGCUGUACAAUACAUUAACACAUUGCUUUGCAGCACUGAAUCUAAUAAAUAUUUUUAUAGACAG